rnacentral:lncRNA from 1 species
GGGAUUCCCGCUGCGGUUCCGACCGAAGCCCCGGGAAACCAACGAGCUUCGCCCACCUCGAAGCGGCCGGCGGUGGCGACUGGACGGACGCGCGACGAGCGUCCGCGCUCUCGGGCGUGAGGGACAACGGAAGUACUUUGCAGACGAGGAGCAGGAAGCAGCAAGGCAGUCGACCGGCGCAGCGUCAUCGUCAAGUGAAGCGGUCCCGCCAGCGUCAGAGUUCCAGAAACUCUUGCAGCAGCUUGACCGGCUGUUCGCCGCGUCAACAAAUGUUCUGGCGGAGAGGCACGAAUUCACCAGUCGAAGGCAAAGGCGGUACAGUGCAACUUCGGCACAACCUACAAUGAGCGCGUCCGAGACCAAAUAAUACAUGG